rnacentral:rRNA from 1 species
UACAGAGGGUGCGAGCGUUGUCCGGAAUCAUUGGGCGUAAAGCGCGUGUAGGCGGCUCGGUAAGUCCGCUCUGAAAGUCCAGGGCUCAACCCUGGGAUGCGGGUGGAUACUGUCGGGCUCGAGUCCGGAAGAGGCGAGUGGAAUUCCUGGUGUAGCGGUGAAAUGCGCAGAUAUCAGGAGGAACACCAAUGGCGAAGGCAGCUCGCUGGGACGUGACUGACGCUGAGACGCGAAAGCGUGGGGAGCAAACAGG